rnacentral:lncRNA from 1 species
AUGUGCGAUGUCACAGAUGCAAGUAUCAUGACAGGCCUUGAGAUCUUGCUCCAAAUCCUUCACUUGCCGAUGAGGAAGCUGAGGCCAAGGGAGGGGAACUGGUGUGCUCAGGGUCAUAGAGCAACGGGUGGCAAUGCUGAGACAAAGUCCCAGGACUCCCACCUGGAGCUUGUCUCCUGUUCUUCAUGUCCCCGAGAGAGCAGGAGACCUGUGCCCUCUACUGGAGGCUGGCAGAGGACGUGCAGUUUGAGCGCUUUGGAGCAUGACCUACUUUCUGGGCUUUUCCAGACUUCCCUGAGGAAGCCAAGGCCACCUGGCAUGUCCUGUUCAGGCCUCACUUUGGUGACCAGCUCAGCAAACCAUCUGUUACCUGAGCUCCCGGGCAAGAUGUCCCACAGAACCCUUUGUCCAGUGCCGCAGCCCCACCACUCUGCUCAGCAGUGCUCCCUGCCACCAUCUGCAGCCCGCAAAGCUGGGCCUGGGCUCCCUCACGGUAUGCCCAGCAUCUAG